UGGGGAAUCUUGCGCAAUGGCCGAAAGGCUGACGCAGCGACGCCGCGUGUGGGAGGACGCCCUUCGGGGUGUAAACCACUGUUGCCCGGGACGAACAUCUCCCUUUUGGGGGACUGACGGUACCGGGUGAGGAAGCACCGGCUAACUCCGUGCCAGCAGCCGCGGUAAUACGGAGGGUGCGAGCGUUGUCCGGAAUCACUGGGCGUAAAGGGCGCGUAGGUGGCGCGGGAAGUCUUCGGUGAAAGCUCAGGGCUCAACCCUGAGUCGGCCGGCGAUACUCCCGUGCUUGAGCUCACUAGAGGCAGAUGGAAUUCCGGGUGUAGCGGUGGAAUGCGUAGAGAUCCGGAAGAACACCGGUGGCGAAGGCGGUCUGCUGGGGUGAUGCUGACACUGAUGCGCGACAGCGUGGGGAGCAAACA
rnacentral:rRNA from 1 species